GCGCGGUGUUGCCAUGGGGACGAGCUGACCCAGCUGAAGGUUUCCGUGCUUGGAAACCGCGCCACCGCGGAGGUAGCCGUUCCCUGAGGUAGCCGUUACCUGACCUAGCCAUGGCACAGAGCACUGAAAACCACGACCCUGUCGGAGCCAUCUUAAUCCAGAUCCAUGAAGACCUUUAUCAGUUAAAGGAGAAAUUAACAAAAUUCUCACCUGAGGAAAAAGGAGAGACUCUAGACAUUCAGAGUCUUGAAACAGCAAUCAAAAGGACUGAAAUGGGGUUAAGAAUUCACAUUGAGAAGUAUUUAAAUGUUGUAAACCAGAAUGUAUUAACGACUUCUGUUAAUGAUGAGAGCUUAUAUACUCCCCAGGCUUCCAAAUGGAAUCUGAGGGUACACUUUGGCAACCCCAAAGACAGCACAGUUCAUCUCUGCCUGUCUUUCCAAGAGCAAAGUCUAAAGAUUCUUCCAAAUCACUUUUGGCCAUUUGACAUCGCGUGCAGCAUCAUGAUGACAGACUGUUUUUUAACAACUCUGACUUGUGAAGUUGAAUCUUUUGUCUUCUUUCGACUGCGAAAGAUAGGGUUGAAUGUAAAAAUCAUGCAGGAUCCUGAAAACAUCCACCACAGAGCUGCCGUAAAUGCGAACUAUGGAAUCAGUUUGCCAUAUAUUAAUCAGAGAAAAGCAUGUGUAAAGGUUCCGAAGUUAAUCAAAGGGUCUACCAUAUCCAACCUCAUGGUUCUGCCAUCUUCUCAUCACACAGAUCCCUAUUUCACUCCUAUACCAGUCUUACAGGCAGAUGCCCGCAAAGGGAUUUUAAGUAUGAUAGAACAAGGGCUGAUUCCACCAACAGCAAGGAUUACCUUUCAGAAUCCACCCAUUACACACAGAGCAGCUCCUCUGCAUAGUUUUGAUGAAGCACGUAAGAUUCCAAAUGCAGCCACUUUCACUAUACCUCGGGAACCACCGCCAUCUCCAGCAGAAGUGAAGUUCUUUCCCAAGAAACAAAGAUCAAAGGGGAAAAGCAGAAGGUCAAGAGGACAUCAUGAUAGGAAGGCCAUGAAAGUCACAACGCCUUCGAGAGCCCUGAAAUCACUGUGGGAUUAUGACUUUUUAAUUUAUAAUGGUGUCAUAGACAAUACAGCCCCAGACUUCUUAGCAUUCAAGGAACAUUUUAGCUUAGCUUGGGGAGGUAUUUUUUCCCUCUUGGAACAUGUCGAGAAGUUUCUCAGGAACUAUGCAAUACCAGAAGUCAAAAUAAAAGGGAAUAAUUUGGUGGCCCUCCUUCCAGAGUUUGAGCUGACGAAUAAACUUACCAGAUAUGACCUCCUCUCAGUGUUAGAGGACCCAGCUCAUGUCCAAAUGCUGAUAAAUCUUCCAGGUCAAAGGUACAAGGGCCAAGAUGGAAAUUCGGAGGCCGCCAUGAAGAUCCAAGCCACAUGGAAAUGCUACAAAGCAAGAAAAUUCUUCCUCAUUUAUCGCCAGCAGAAGUGGGCAUCAGGUGUGAUUGCCAUUGCUUGGCUGUUACAUUGCCAUAAGACUCGACUAAAGAAGAUACUAAAGGAAUCACGUCAGAGACACCUGGAGAAUUUCCGCAUUCGAGCCAAGCAUCUGGCAGCCAACUGGAAUCGCAUCAGGACCUCCAGGAGGACUAUUAUCCAUAUCCCAUCAUUAGGGUAUUCCCAGCCUGUGAGAGAACAUAUUGCCGAUUUCAACACACAGCAGAACAUGCAGCUGGGGAGGCUGUGUGACAUCUUAGAUGCCAAUGUGAACGUCAUCUACAUCUGCUCCCAUCAUAUGAAUGACGAGUUAGUGCUGUAUUACAAAAAAAUCCUAAGUCUACAUGCAGCCGUCAAAUCAGGGAACCUAGAGGACAGAAGUGACCUGCAGGACAGGUUCAAAAUUAUCACCCCUGAAGCUGUAAACAUCUUCCCUAAGCAUCAUAUGUGCCUGGCCACUCACCUGAUGUACAGUCCCAAGGCAAUCAAAAGAAUAAAAAAUCUCAUCCGAGGAACAGAGGCCUACAUCGUCAGCGGGCUCCUCCACAGAGAUGAUUUAGCUGUGGCCGAUAUGUUAGACAUACCCAUCCUGGGCUCUGAGCCUGAACUAGCUCAUCUUUAUCGUACCAAAUCUGGAAGUAAACGUGUCUUUGACAGUGCCAAUGUGGCAGUUCCUCCUGGAAUAUAUGACAUUUAUAGUCAGCAACAGAUGAUAGAGCAGCUGAGUCAGCUGAUAACUGAUCACCUGCAAAUACAGCGCUGGCUCUUUAAGAUGGACUCUGAGUUCCGAGGAAAUGGGACUGCAUUUUGUGAUAUUCCUUCCUACCUAAAGUGCUACAAAUGGGUGCUAAAGGAGAGUAGCAGAUAUGGCCUUGAAGACUGGAGAAAGAAAUGGGCACAAGAGCCAGCUUUGGUGAAGAUCUCCGAGGAGCUGGCAGGCAUUUUAGCACAGCACGCACAGCCAGUCAAUGAGAAACGGUUCCCGACGUGGAGGAAAUUCCUCCAAACAUUUCUCAGUCAAGGGGGUGUGAUUGAAGCAUUCCCACCUGCAGACAAUGUCACCAACCUGACAGUGGACAUGCUGAUAGAGCCCAAUGGGAAAAUCAGCGUGCUGUCCACAGGGGACCAGCUUCAUGCCGAAAGCCCCUUCAUCUCCUCUGGUACUACCAUGCCUCAGACCUCAGUGGAUCCCCAAGUUCUCACUUACUUGUGCCUCCAAAUUGGAAAAGCCUGCAGAAUGAGAGAUGUGGUUGGUUACUUUUCUAUAGAUCUGGUGACUUUUAUAGAUCCAAGCACCUUAGAACAACAGGUGUGGGCAACGGGCCUUAACCUCUCAUAUAGUGACCAGCUGGCCCUGACUCAACUCACCUUAUACCUGACAAACGGCCAUCUGGAUUGCAGUUUGAGCACCCUGGAAGUGCCCCGCUUUGUUCCAAAGGAAAGGAAGAAAACCAACCGCAUUAGUGCGCUAUCGGUGCCGACGCUGGCAACCAGUCGCUAUGCAGUGAUGACCACCCAGCUAAGACACAGCAAUCUCUCACUGGUUUUCCACUAUGUUUUUCUCCAGAUCUGUAGGGCCCAUGGCAUUGGCUAUGAUCUUGAGGACAGGCAAGGAACUGUUUUUAUAUUAUAUGAGCACCUGAAGAGACACAAGUUGGGAAUGUUGAUGAGGCUGGGAGAGGUGAGCUUCCUUCGGGUGAUGGGAGAAGAGCAACCAGACAGGCCAAACACUGGACCCAGGAUUCAGAUGCGUGGAGGUCAUCCUGAGAAGCAACCAGCUCAUACCAUCAGGAAAGUUCCAACCGCAAAGAGUAAAGGGACAACCUGAAAGCUAGGUCGUGGGGAGCUUGACCAGAGGCACUCAGAGAGGAGGCCACUUUUGGAGACCCCGGCUGGUAGGGGGUGGCAUGAGGAAAGCCUUUCAGCAGGCAGCAGAGCUCAGCAGAGGCUGACACUCAGGAGCAGGACUUGUGUCCUGGAAUUGAUGGGAUGAGACAGGGGUAGUAUCACCCAGGCAGAGGCAGGGUUCAUGAGGUAUGGGCCACAGGAAGAGCAGUGCAGGUGGGUACUCAGGCAUAGAGGAACCAGGCAAGAGGAAAACCAUCACAGAAAGUAGGAGAUAGAGGAAGAGCCUGUUUCAUGAACUGAGAAACUCCCAGUCAUCAAACUGACCUAGCAGCAAGGUGGAUUUGAUGCUGAAACCUACAGAAUUAAUAAUUAGACUGGUAACCAAGAGGAACUUGCCCAGCUGUCCCUACAUCUGUACCUGAGAUUUCAGGCAAGGAUGCCUUGACCUGCAGGCUAGUUUCAAUGGUAGAAAUGGUCCUACUGGUGUACCUUCUAGAUGGUUAUUGCUAUUCACACAUCCUUCAGGGAGGGCACAGUUGACAUGGACCUCUGGAAAGCCUUUAGUCCUUUUCUACUGUUUUCUGCCCAUCUUAAUCUCAUCCCUAACUGCAGUCAUAGAACCACAGAAUGUUAGAGCAGGGAAGGGCCUCAGAAUUAACUGAUCCUCAUAGACGGGAAACUGAGGCUUAGAGAGGGGCAGUGAUUUGCCUGGGUCACACAGCAGGUGGUCUGUCUCCUGAUCCUGAACUUACUGUUCUUUUCACUACACCACAAAGCCUACACUGAGUGACCACCUUAUAUAGGGAGCCCUAUAAUGCUACAGGAUAGUUUGCAAGCUGUCUCUGAAAUCUUAAAGUGGAUGUUCAGGUUUAUAAAGACGGCUGUUCAUGAACAGGGCACAUUCUCCUCUGAACAUAGGCAGGACACUCUCAUUAAGUGAUAGGAAUCACUUGUACCCGUGAAAUAGAAAGUAAGCCCCAGACAAAAGACUCCAGAAUACUGAGAUGCAAAUGUCUGCAUAGACAAGGAAAUCAUUUGGCAAGGAUCACACUUAGCGACAGUUCUCCUAAAGUAACUUAAACCAUUUUUUUUUAUUAUUAUACUUUAAGUUCUAGGGUACCUGUGCACAACGUGCAGGUUUGUUACAUAUGUAUCCAUGUGCCAUGCUGGUGUCCUGCACCCAUUAACUCGUCAUUUACAUUAGAACAAUCGGCGAGGAUCUCCAGGGGGUCCUCAUGACCUUUGCUCGCAAUCUCUUCAUCAUCCAUCAAGAAAUAUCAGCACCUAAUAUGCAAGGCGAGACCAAUUUUAAG